GUGUCGGUGGUGCAACGGUUUAGCACACGCUCUCGGAAUGAGUAGGAUCUGGGUUCAAGUCUCUGCUGACGUA